rnacentral:tRNA from 1 species
AGAAAAUUAGUUAAUAAUUAUAACAUAAGUCUGUCAUGCUUAAAUUAUCUAAAAAGAUAUUUUCUU